rnacentral:rRNA from 1 species
UACGUAGGGGGCAAGCGUUGUCCGGAAUUAUUGGGCGUAAAGAGCUCGUAGGCGGCUUGUCACGUCGGUUGUGAAAGCCCGGGGCUUAACCCCGGGUCUGCAGUCGAUACGGGCAGGCUAGAGUUCGGUAGGGGAGAUCGGAAUUCCUGGUGUAGCGGUGGAAUGCGCAGAUAUCAGGAGGAACACCGAUGGCGAAGGCAGAUCUCUGGGCCGUAACUGACGCUGAGGAGCGAAAGCGUGGGGAGCGAACAGG